rnacentral:tRNA from 1 species
GGCGCUAUCGUCUAUCGGCUAGGACGAGAGAUUUUCAUUCUCUAAAGCGGGGUUCGAUUCCCCGUGGCGCUA